AGUGAACGCUGGCGGCAGGCCUAACACAUGCAAGUCGAGCGGCAGCGCGUCCGACCACCCUCGGGUGGUCGGAUGGCGGCGAGCGGCGGACGGGUGAGGAAUGCAUCGGAAUCUGCCUCGUUGUGGGGGAUAACGUAGGGAAACUUACGCUAAUACCGCAUACGACCUACGGGUGAAAGUGGGGGACCUUCGGGCCUCACGCGAUGAGAUGAGCCGAUGCCGGAUUAGCUAGUUGGCGGGGUAAAGGCCCACCAAGGCGACGAUCCGUAGCUGGUCUGAGAGGAUGAUCAGCCACACUGGAACUGAGACACGGUCCAGACUCCUACGGGAGGCAGCAGUGGGGAAUAUUGGACAAUGGGGGCAACCCUGAUCCAGCCAUGCCGCGUGUGUGAAGAAGGCCUUCGGUUGUAA
rnacentral:rRNA from 1 species